UUGUAAGGUUUGAUCAAACAUAGAAACGUUUGUAAAAAGACUUAUGGCUGAAAUUUUUCCCGAAAUUUUAAUUCUUACGCAGAGUUAUCACAAGCUAUGAAAUUCGCUUAGUGGAUAUAGGGCUCCAAAUGUUAAAUUCCUGAGCCUGACUCGCCUAGUUGAGUGAUAUUUUAGGUCUAUACGAAGUUACGUAGAAAACUUUAUUUAUAGUUUAACGAGUUGGCAGAACAUUGCAAUACAGAAUUAAUAUUAGCUGGUAUGUGAUAAAAUAUCGAUACAUUUAGUGCAUUAAUUUAUAAAACAAUAAAUUUUAGUUUGAUGCGAAGAGUAAUUUCGAAUCGGACAUUAAAGCAAAUAUAAGCGUUGGAAUUUUUGUGAAGUUUAGUUCUCAAAACGCUAAGGCAGGCACUAGUCUGUUUAACUCGGGUGCCGUUGCUGAAAUUGAGAUUCGUUAAAUUUUCUGCGCAAUAUUGGGACAUUGUUCUGUAACACUAUCCAUAUACGGCUUAUUUUUGUCGUGAAAAUGUUGAUAGAAAAUCCCAAGUUUCUUUAUUGCAGUCCAGCUAAUCAUAGGGGAUAUUAAUUCUCUCGAUUAUAAAAGCAAUAUUGUUUUUAAUGUCAACCCGUAUUUGAAACUCGUUUCAUUAUAAAUUCGUUUCGACUAAAUAGGACUCAAAAUUAUAGGUUAGCGACGUUUUACAUUUAGACAACAAAAUUUGAACAUUUUAAUAUCACAUCAAAAGUCUAAAUCUGUUCGAAAAUGUGAAAGAAUGUGCCAAGAGAUUUAUCCAACUUAUCCGAAUUUAAAAAUUAACUAUGUUAAAAUAUGUUAAGAAAUAAAAUAAAUCUUUCAACGUGUAUAUGUUUCUAAUAAAAUACAAAAGAUAUUUUGUAUAUGUGUAUUUACCUACGUGUCUUAAACAUUAUAACCAACGUAUUUAGUAGAAUUUUUAAAUGUUAAAGAUUUCAAAAAUCUGUUUUUGAUGCAGUGUAAAGUGAAUAUGUAAUGAAUCAAGUUAUUAUUUCAAAAUCUCUCGAACGCAUAUUUUUUAAACUAAGCUAGUUAUUGCAAAUAAAUCGAUUUGAUAAAAAAAAACUAAUUACUGUGCGAUAGAAUACUAAAAAUAUAGGUUCUUCGUCAGAGAAAUAAAGUUUCCGCUAUAGACAUGAAUCGACAAUUGGAAGAAAAAAUCCACGAGGUAAAGUAUAAACUAAUUUUCUAAAUCUAUUCAUUUUUAAAUCCUUUUUACAGUAAAAUUUUGAAAAAUUUUCUUAUUCUCGUGGUAUGUUGAUUAUGCGUUUAAUACUUCUAUAAGAAUAAAUGACACAGAUAGCAAUAAGCUUGUCUAAAGAGUUAAAACGUGUGUAUUAUAUGAAAUGCAGAUUUGCAAAUUCCUAAAAUUUCACCUCAAAAUUUUUAUUCAUUUACGUUUUAACCUAAGCUAAACAUUGUUAUAAGGCUAGAAAUUUUUACACCAAUUUAAAAUUCAAUAAUAUUAGAACACCAGGAUUAUAUUAUACAAAAUGUUAAAUUAACUUUCGGAAUCUGAACUGUUUUCAAGUCUAACUUUCUAAAAAGUAAAAUUUAUAUGAAAUUCUCAUCUACUUUUAGGUAUUAAACUUUAAAAAAUAGUACCACUUAACUCAAGGCAAACAAACAUGGUAACGCCAUUGUUAGAAGAGUGCCAUAAAAAAUUUGAUACACCAAAAUAAAUCUUGAGAUACUAUAUCGAAAUUGCAACUGUAUAAUUUUUAUAAUUGCA
rnacentral:lncRNA from 1 species